UGUUUUGGCGCUAUCCUGACUCUACAGUAUGUCUGCUUCAUGUCUUCCAAUCUUCGCGUUUCAUUUCCAAGUUGUAGCUCCGCAAGAGCAUUCUCUCCGACUAUGAACACCGCUUUCGAAGCCAAACAAACUUGAAUUGUUGAGAGAUUUCUAGAUUAACAAGACAAACAAAGGCAAAGAGCUUUUAUGUUUUCUCCUUUAGAAACCUGCAUUGGCUCCAGAGUGAACAUCUCGAAGCCUUCAUGUUCUAGAGGUUAUAUCUGCAAAUGAUGGAAUUUGUCUCUACUCAAGACACCUAUAAGCUAGAGGUACUUUUUAAAGGUUGAGAUUCUUCCUUUUCCAUCCCUCUCCACCUCUCUCUCUCUCUCUCUCUCUCUCUCUCUCUCUCUCUCUCUUUUGAAUGUAUCUUCAACCUGUACUAGACCUCUUAGGGUUCAUCUAGAUCCAGAUUUAUAAAUGCCUCCUUUCUCUUACCAGUAAAAAAAAUAUGAGGAGAAAAUAGAGAAAAUUAGAAGAAGUUGGUUAAGGAAGAUAUAAAACUGAAGAAAAAAAUCUGUCGCAUUUUUCAAUAUUCUAAUUUUGCUAAGAUGAUGAUCUUACAGUACAGUGUCUCAUUGACUGUUAGUUCUUUGUGGUCAUUGGUUAGGGUUAUGAACCAUUAGGUAACAACCAUGGCGUCAAACAAAAUUAGUAGGGGUGGGGUUGGGGAGAAAGGAGAUAUGGUUUUUAUAUAACAUUUUAUGUAUCAUAAUCCUUUAAUACCUUCACAAGCAUGGGAAUUUAUGGUCUGCAAAAGCACGAAUCUUUAUACAAGUUAGGAAAUAGAUUAUAAAUGUGGGUGAUAUAACUUACUGUUAGAUCUUCCUUUGCUGCAGUGGAGACUCUCCAAAUAUACCACUUUAAUUGUUGCUUGAUUUUCCGUUGGAUUUUGGCAAAUACGUACUGACCCAGGGAUGAAUUUUUCAGCACAGCCUACAGAUGCAGAGAAACUUCGGCUGAAUAUGAUUGAGUUACUGCUGUGGUUUAGAUGAAAGGUUGGUACCUAGGUCUGGCGGUGGGAUAUGGAGGACUGAGAGAGAUGAUAAAUUCACAUUUUGAAUAGCAUUUAAAAUAAAAUGGUUUGAUAUCAUGGCAACUGUUGCAAAAGCAGAAAUGAUUACAAAAGAGUUCGGCCACGUUUUUAUGACUAAGAAUACAGGUGAAGUUAAUUAUGAUGGCUGACCAAUUUUGGAAUACUUGCACCUGUUUGCAGUGCAAUAAGCUGCAAAUCGAGCGUUACAUGCAAAUACUGACAAUGGAGCCAGGGUAAGCGUUGAAAAUAAGAGGAUGCAUUCUAGAAGUGUUGCUGAAGCAGUAAGUGAUGAUGAACAAUUUAGCCCUUGUGAUAUUUAAUUUUAUAACUUGAGUAAUCUAAUGAAGAUAUAAUUACCAUAUAUAGUCAGACAUUUAAUUAAAAAGGUUUAUAUAUUUGCUGUUGUGAAUAACAAGAAAAUGUGAAUACAAUUACUAAUACAGUUUUCUAAGGGAAUUUAUAGAACAAGCACACUUGAGCCAUACGUUGCAUCUAAAACUGCAGGACAUUUGAUGUGAGAAGUGGAAACAAGCAGGUCCAAUUACACAUUUGUUUUUGAAAUAUUUGGCCAUUUGUAUAAAUUUCUUUUAUGUCAUGCAUUUAGUGUGGAAAUUUCAACUGUAGCAUUUCUUUUCCUCUUGGAGCUCUCAUUAAUUGUAAAAGUAUUAAUUCAGUUCUCUAUGUUUCUUGCAUUAUAGUUGAUGCAGAUACUGAAGGCCAAGGCUUGAAGCACAAUCCCUGAGCAUUGCAGAUUUACUAUAAAUUAUGAUUUAUACAUCUUUAGUUCUUUCAAAUUCUAGAGAGGAAGAACUAUGAAUUUGCUAUUUUCUUUCAAUUGUUAGACAGCCGCCAAUUCAGCAUGCCAAUUCCAGUUGUAACAUGUGAUGUGAUUUGUACCCUGGAAACCCAAUAGGACAGGACUACUGCAUUCCUCAAAAUUGUCUAAGAAAUAACUAAUGGGGCUUAGAAUAUUUUGGUCACUUAUUAAUAUUUUUGUUGAAUAAAUUUUCAUCUGUUAAUGCCUGCCUCGAUCUUCAACCUUUAUUUAUUUAUUUAUUUUAUCUUUCAGGAAGAUUUCAUGGCAAAACAGGAGUUUGGAAUUGGCUCUAAUGGGGUAUUGACAAAUUGCGAUAUUCCAGGUAUGGUGGUGAAAGAUUUUAACUAGCAUGGCAGGUUUUUGUUUUAGAUGGUGGAAUUUGAUAUAUAUUUAUUUCUGACGGUAACAAAGUGGCUUGAUGGUAUACUGCAUAUCCAGGUAGUUAUAUAUUUUAAGCAUCCUAUAGUGUCUUUACACAUCAUAAAGAAAGCUGAUGCGAAAUGAUUAUGUAAUGAAGACAUUAGAUUUUCUUUUUCCUACAAGUAUUGAAUGAGCUACACAAUGGCGUAGCUCUCCCCCUUCCACUAACUUCUCUUUGUCCUAAUGAGAUUUGAAUAUGAGAGAUGCCUAUUGAGAUUCAAGUCUUUGUUAGUGGGAUCCUCGCACGAUUCACAUUUAUUAAACACCUUAGAACAUGCACAAUCUGAUUUCAGAAGAAAAUGCUAUUUGGUGUAUCUAAUUAUAUUUAUGCUGUCCACUUGUUGCUUUUCCUUUAGACUGGAUAUUUGUUUGGAAUACAGCGGAUUUGGCAAAUAGGUUUGGCAACAAAGGUUGUCUGUCCUCAAACUGUUGAUGUAAGGUCAUUCCCCUUGUUGAUUUUUCUCAAGAGGAAGAGGGAAUUCUUCAGCUUGCAAAGUCCUGCUAUACGUGAAUCAGGUAUUCCAGCUUCUUAUGAACUCGUAUGGAACCAACUGUGGAUGAAGUACUUCAUUUUAAUUUAUAAACUACGAUUUUGUUAUAUGGUGGUUCACAUGAUUGAGUUGAAUAGACAGUUUCAGAUAUUAUGCAGACCAGUUAGUGAGGUUAAGUGCUUAUUGCUCUGAGAAGGAAAAUGGUGGAGGAGUCAAUGUUGUAAUGAAAUCCCAAAAAGUUAUUAGUUACGAUGAUUACCAUAACUACAGUAUAAAAAUUUGCUUUGCAUACUGAGUGUGGCACACUCCUAGCAUUUACCAUUACAGGAUGGAAAGUUAAUCAGUUUACAGAACCGCACAUUCAUAUCAUUUGUACAGGGGUAGUCUAAAAUGCUCCAACAUGCUUUUAACGAAGACAUACAUGAAGGGUGGAACACUUGUCUCACUGGUGCACAUUUCAGGUACACGUCAGACACAUCAAACCUAGCUUGUUGAGAAAUGUAAAAGUAAAAUAAAAGUUGACAGAUUUCCAAUAUGCAUGUUUAAUGCUGCAUAUCUUAUACGCCCAUGCUAGACUUUUAUUAUGGGAUCACUUUUUUUGUAAAUUUCAAAAGCUCGCUGUAUAACUAAUACUAUUUUGGUGCAUUAAAACAGCGGAUAUUGGCUCCUAUUA